CGGGAGGCAGCAGUUAGGAAUCUUCCGCAAUGGGCGCAAGCCUGACGGAGCGACGCCGCUUGGAGGAUGAAGCCCUUCGGGGUGUAGACUCCUGAACUGGGGGCGAAAUCCCUGAUGAGGGGGCUGACGGUACCCAGGUAAUAGCGCCGGCCAACUCCGUGCCAGCAGCCGCGGUAAUACGGAGGGCGCGAGCGUUACCCGGAUUCACUGGGCGUAAAGGGCGUGUAGGCGGCCUGGGGCGUCCCACGUGAAAGACCACGGCUCAACCGUGGGGGAGCGUGGGAUACGCUCAGGCUAGACGGUGGGAGAGGGUGGUGGAAUUCCCGGAGUAGCGGUGAAAUGCGCAGAUACCGGGAGGAACGCCGAUGGCGAAGGCAGCCACCUGGUCCACCCGUGACGCUGAGGCGCGAAAGCGUGGGGAGCAAACCGGAUUAGAUACCCGGGUAGUCCACGCCCUAAAC
rnacentral:rRNA from 1 species